UACGUAGGUGGCAAGCGUUGUCCGGAUUUACUGGGCGUAAAGAGCGCGCAGGCGGCCGAGUAAGUCGAAUGUGAAAGCCCCCGGCUCAACUGGGGAACGUCAUUCGAUACUGUUCGGCUUGAAGAUAGGAGAGGGAAGCGGAAUUUCAGGUGUAGUGGUGAAAUGCGUAGAUAUCUGAAGGAACACCAGUGGCGAAGGCGGCUUUCUGGCCUAUUCUUGACGCUGAGGCGCGAAAGCUAGGGGAGCGAACGGG
rnacentral:rRNA from 2 species